rnacentral:rRNA from 1 species
UGACCGCUGGCGGCGUGCCUAAUACAUGCAAGUCGAGCGAACGGACGAGAAGCUUGCUUCUCUGAUGUUAGCGGCGGACGGGUGAGUAACACGUGGAUAACCUACCUAUAAGACUGGGAUAACUUCGGGAAACCGGAGCUAAUACCGGAUGAUAUUUUGAACCGCAUGGUUCAAAAGUGAAAGACGGUCUUGCUGUCACUUAUAGAUGGAUCCGCGCUGCAUUAGCUAGUUGGUAAGGUAACGGCUUAACAAGGCAACGAUGCAUAGCCGACCUGAGAGGGUGAUCGGCCACACUGGAACUGAGACACGGUCCAGACUCCUACGGGAGGCAGCAGUAGGGAAUCUUCCGCAAUGGGCGAAAGCCUGACGGAGCAACGCCGCGUGAGUGAUGAAGGUCUUCGGAUCGUAAAACUCUGUUAUUAGGGAAGAACAUAUGUGUAAGUAACUGUGCACAUCUUGACGGUACCUAAUCAGAAAGCCACGGCUAACUACGUG